rnacentral:misc_RNA from 1 species
GAUGAAGAACGUAGCGAAAUGCGAUAAGUAAUGCGAAUUGCAGAAUUCAGUGAGUCAUCGAAUCUUUGAACGCACAUUGCGCCCUGUGGUAUUCCGCAGGGCAUGCCUGUUCGAGCGUCAUUUCAACCCUCAAGCCCCGCUUGGUGUUGGGCCCCGCCCGCUGUGGCCGGCCCUAAAGACAGUGGCGGCGCCGCCUGGCCCUCAGCGUAGUACAUCUCUCGCUCCAGGGUCCGGUGGCCGCCUGCCAGAACCCCCCAACUCUGUGGUUGACCUCGGAUCAGGUAGGGAUACCCGCUGAACUUAAGCAUAUCAAUAGCGGAGG